rnacentral:rRNA from 1 species
GACGUAGGGCGCGAGCGUUGUCCGGAUUUAUUGGGCGUAAAGAGCUCGUAGGCGGCUUGUUGCGUCGACCGUGAAAACUUGGGGCUUAACCUUAAGCUUGCGGUUGAUACGGGCAGGCUAGAGUUCGGUAGGGGAGACUGGAAUUCCUGGUGUAGCGGUGAAAUGCGCAGAUAUCAGGAGGAACACCGGUGGCGAAGGCGGAUCUCUGGGCCAUUACUGACGCUGAGGAGCGAAAGCGUGGGGAGCGAACAGG